rnacentral:lncRNA from 1 species
UGGAUCUCUCUCAACGCCCGGCCACUCUCCUACUCGUGGAUCCUCUGCAGCCCUCGUUGCCUGAAUGAAGCCCAUACCCCUCCAUUUGGGUUCAAGGACUUCAAGGACCUGAUGCUACUCUAUAUUUCCAGCCCUGCCUUCUGGACAUUUUCUUUUGCAAUUCUCUUUGCCAGGAAUGUCCAUUUUCUCUAAACCCUACCCAUCCUUCAAGUCAUUCUCUUUCCUGAAAGCUUUUCUGAUCACUCUAGCCCACAAUAAUAACUCGUUUUAGUUAGGACAGUUGGGCUACAGAACUUCAACUCUGUUCCAGUCCCCACCUCUCCUUCUGAGCCGUCAGUCCACCACUGAGCCCCGUGCCCCCAGGAGGCUGACCUCAUUCUUAACUCGAGAUAGGAAAUGUACCAGACGAGAAGCUGCAGAACAGUGCCAGCAAAUUCAGAUUCCCUGGACAAUGCUGAGUGCCCGGACUCAAGUUUCCUAAUGCCUGCAAAGCUCCUAAGUCACAGGCACUGUGAGCUAGUGGCAGCAGAGGGACCCGAGGGAGGACUACACGGCAAGAGGAAGAGUCUGCUUCUGUCAGUUAUACAGGAUGCCGCAGCGCAGGGACGGCUGUGUGAGUGCCUUACUCCCACACCUCAGAGAGCACACAGGGGACAACGCCACCCCAUUACAUAUGCAUUUACCAUCCUUGGGUUAAGAAAAUCAUUUGUGCUGUGCUCUGAACUUCUUGGGGAAACAGAAUGGAUGCCCCUGUCCACAGAGGAGGAUAUGCCUCCCCCUGGGUACAGGGGUCCACUCCAGCUACUUUCCUCUCCAAGUGGCUGUCCUGCUGUGUGAGAAUUGUGCCGCCAAAGCAGAAAGCCUUUCUGCUCUUGCCGGGAGAUUUUUAUAUAUGGAUGAAAGUCGCUUACUGCAGAAGCGGUGGCCUCUCUUGGGGAGGCUGGGGUGAGGGGGUGGGGCCUCAUUGUGUGGCUCUGGACUCAGUUUGCAACCCCUGGUCCCAGGGAAUUUUGCUCAUUUUAUCCUAUUAAUCCUCACAACAGUCACUCCUCAGCCCCUUAAGAAAGGAGCAAGGGAUAGCAAUUUUCCCAAGAUGGAAGCCCUAG